rnacentral:lncRNA from 1 species
UUCUCUCGAUUGCAAGUGCUAAUGGUGCAGUCAAGAGGAUGUAGAAGGCAGUGGACUAUCACCAAGAGGUCGAUCGUAGAUCCAAGAUGCUGGUGAGUUUGAUAGUUGAUAAGAAUAUGAUGAGGACACUAGUAAAAAUAUUGGGUAGUAGGCACCAAUAUAAGUGCAGAGGGAACGCUCGCCAAGCAGAAUUGAACAGUGAUAGAGAAUCAUUGGAGAAGUCGAUUACUAGAGGAGACUGAUUAGAUCAACAAAGUGGAGUAAAUAUACUGUAGAGUAGAUCGUACUAGAAGAUCGAUCGACAAGAGUCACACGUCUUUAGUGGAAGCCUUGCCUUGGGUUCGGGUUGUAACAAUUAUUUUCUAUGAUGAAGGACUUUUUUUUUUGGUCAGCUAACUACAAGUUUGAGUUUUUUUUUGUAUUAUUGUCAUUUAUUUACUUGAUUUCAGUUUCUGCAUCUUGUCUUUAGAUGAUCAUGGAGUCAAUAGAAAACAAGACAAGCAAGCUUGUUACAGUGUCAUUAUAUUAGCCAAAACUCAUUGCACUUGUGCAGCGAGGAACGUAUGCUACAUCACUGUAGGAUCUCCAACACAGGAAUUGGACCUCAUG